UAGGGAAUCUUCGGCAAUGGACGAAAGUCUGACCGAGCAACGCCGCGUGAGUGAAGAAGGUUUUCGGAUCGUAAAACUCUGUUGUUAGAGAAGAACAAGGACGUUAGUAACUGAACGUCCCCUGACGGUAUCUAACCAGAAAGCCACGGCUAACUACGUGCCAGCAGCCGCGGUAAUACGUAGGUGGCAAGCGUUGUCCGGAUUUAUUGGGCGUAAAGCGAGCGCAGGCGGUUUCUUAAGUCUGAUGUGAAAGCCCCCGGCUCAACCGGGGAGGGUCAGUGGAAACUGGGAGAAGUGAGUGCAGAAGAGGAGAGUGGAAUUCCAUGUGUAGCGGUGAAAUGCGUAGAUAUAUGGAGGAACAGCAGUGGCGAAGGCGGCUAUCUGGUCUGUAACUGACGCUGAGGCUCGAAAGCGUGGGGAGCAAACAGG
rnacentral:rRNA from 1 species